rnacentral:lncRNA from 1 species
UGAAUUAAUCAUACAAAAAAACAAGUCCUAUAGGCAUAUUCUCUAAAUACUGAGCUAAUCAAUCAGAAAACACAUCCUAUAGGCAGGCUAUCCACCCUUCUAAUAGUUAAGCAUGCACAAUUACCCAGCUUUUUUUUCACUAACCGACCCUAAAUGUUUAUUACAAAUUAUUACAAACCAAUUGCUAAAUUACAUGAGAAAUAACGUAAAAGAAAAAAGUUACAACAAGAGAAAGCAUGAUUCUUGACUUCAUAUCUGAGUUAGGGUAUAAACCGCUUCAAAUUCCAUUUGUUUCAAAGUCUUUCCCAGACCUGGGUGUGUCAAAGUUCCCUAAGGGUCUCAAGGGGAUCCCGGGCAAUGCUUAUUCCAGGUUUGCAUAACCAGAUAGAGAUGAUUGCAUUGUGGAAGGGCUAGCCCUUUUGUGUCCAAGAUUAGGGGGAGCUCAUAGGUCCCAAGGCCAGGCUCAAACAAGAGGGGUAGAACCUAAGUCUAAUAAUAUAGUGGAAGUGCAGGAACAGAGGUUUAAAACUGAGUGGAGAAUAGAGAGGGGUAAGGGUGAUUGGAAAAUAGUAGUUGUAAAGCUAACAUUACACAGAAUAUGACCUUAGGAAGGGGUCAGGUUUUGGCAUGCACACCAAUAGAUAUUUUUGGCAUACCCAUGAAUUAGCUAGAGAAUACAACACAUAGAAGGGAUAUGAAGGUUAUGACCCUAUGGAGGUUAGGUAUGGGUUACGCACAACAAUAUCUAAUGCUGACAUGAACCCAAACCAUCCGAGGAAUACAAACACAUAGGGAUAUGGGGGUUUGGUAUUCAUAAGCCAUAAUAAGAGACUGACAUGGUUCAGACAUAAGAAAACAUUAAUUCAGAAGAGAAAGGGGCAGAUUACAACAUGUUUAGUAAUAGAACUUGAUUAAACACAAGCAGAAACCAGGCAAGAGUGAAGGAAUAGUAAUGAAACAUGUUGUUGAUGCUGGAAAAUUAAUUAGAAUAUACCAGUAAAGAAGCAAAUGCAGAAAUAAAAGUAAGCAAAUUUCCCACAACCUAGCCUUGGCUUUCAGCCGGCUAGACAAUGUAGCAACACAAAUAGUAACAGAGAAAAAAAGAGAGUUUUGAGUGAAGUGUGUGUUCUGAACUCAAGUGUUUUAUUCCUUGUGUUCGUGUGUUUGAAAGAAGAUGGGUGCAGGGUAUUUAUAGCUUUUUGAAAAUGAGUGAAGGAAGGUAAUAAGUAAAGUUUUAGUACAAAUAUAGAAACAAUCUCCAAUUAGAAUUAAUUACCCAAGUGUCUCCCUUUAAUUAAGGAAUAACUGUUUGACGGGUAGUAACAUAUCCAAAUAAGGAAAGGAAUCUGUUUAAGAUAGACUGGUUAUUGCCAUAAAAAGAGUAUUAAAAAUAUUAAGUAAGCAAUCGAGUCUAAGUACAGAAAUAUGCUUAUUUUGGAAAUAGAUUAAGCGAAGUAAAUAUUACAGUAAUGGGAAAAGAAUCAAUCAAUUUUGAACGGGUGACUGAAAUCAGGGUUCCUAAAAGGGAUACUUUAGAAAUCAAUCGCAAGACCAAGAUCAAUCAAAGAAGAGGCUUCAACAUAUAAAUAAAGUGAACAGGGUCAUCAGACAUGCGAGGCCACACAUAUUUGACAAAGAGUCACAAACAUGCACAGAAAUUAGCCAGGGUUCAAUACUAAAGCAAACAUUCGACACAUAUUAAUCAAGUAGGUCGAGUUACGUUGAAUCAACAGGGAAGAAAAUAGAGCCUCAGAAACAUACAAAGGUUUUACAGUAGCAGGUGAGGAAACCCCUUCCUAAAAAUUUAGGGUUUCAACCCUUGUCAAGUUUGAGAGAUAGUAAAAUCAAAUAAGUCACAUAAAAUCUAAAACAAAAGCUUUUAGUGGAGUCAUGUACUCAAACAAAAAAAUUUACACCAAGAAGACCUAGGGUCUUCAACAAUAAUCGAUUCUAAAAAAUGAUAAACAAAUGAAUCAAACAAGUGCUAGCAAACAGUUUCAGAACUCGAAUGAGACCACAAAAGAACUAGGGUUUUAGUAUUCUGAAACAAAUAGGAGAACGACAUGAGCAAAACUUAGAUAAAUUACAAACAAGUUAAAAUCAGAGAUCUUUGAAAGAAAAUUACAGGAAAACCUUAAUCGGAGAAGAUGAAGGGUCAUUUGAAAGAAACUCGAAAAACUUCGAGAAAACACUUAAAACAUUCAUAGCAAGUACAGAUCUAAAGAAGAUCUGGAAGAAAAAAAUCAAAAGAUCUUAAAUGUUAGGGUUUCGAAAAACCCCGAAAAGGUGAGAAAGGCCUUGAAAGGUUACCGAUCCAGCCGAAAAAGUCAUAGAUCCUACUCGAAUGACCAUGGAUGGCCGGAAAUGGCAUCGGAGGUCAUGAGAGGUGAGUGAAACGUCUAUAGUUUACUUGAGGGCCUCAAAAAUAUGACACAUGAUCAAGAGGGAACCAUAAGGCUGCUAGGUGGUGAGACCACCAUUGAUUCAGGCAAGGAGAUGGCCAGAGAAAGUGGGUGAAGUUCAUCUGAGAGAAGUAGAAGGGGGAAGGUUCUAGAGAGAACCAGGGAUAGAGAUAGAGAGAGAUGAGAGUCAGUCGAGUGAAG